GCUUUCGUGGUGUAACGGUACAGCACUCGACGCGUAUUCGAGAGGUCCAGGUUCGAAUCCUAGUGAGGGCC
rnacentral:tRNA from 1 species